AGAAAGAAAGAAAGAGAAAGAGAGAGGAGAGAGAGAGAGAGGAGGAGGCGGUUCUCUUGGAAGAAUCCCCGAGGGAGGAGACUUUACAACGCAGCUUUGUUGGCUCGGAGCCCGAGUCUGACCCGGACGGACGCCCUGUGAGCGGAGAGACCGAGAGGGCAGUCUGAGCUACAAGGGGAAGACUAUAAGCUUCAAGAAGGAUUUGUCCUGUGUUUGGGGGGAGAGGACAGAAGAACUUAUCUACGCCUCCUGGGGCUUGUUUGGUUGGUGCGCGUUAAUAUUUUUUUUCCAGUGGUGGAAGACGGACAGAGACGCGCACAGACACACACAGAGAGAAGAGACAAGAGAGAGAGAAGAGAGAAGAGAGAAGAAGACGAGAAGAAAAUACAACUUAAAAUUAACGCCCGACAGCAUCGAGAAGGAUUUUAAAAACAAGGACUUGACGUGUCUGGGUCGGUGGAUGGAUAACGAAGGCGACGACAAGAGAGGAGACUGAAAAAAAAAGCCCCCGAGACUGGGAGAGAGAGAGAGAGAGAGAA